rnacentral:rRNA from 1 species
UACGGAGGGUGCGAGCGUUGUCCGGAAUCACUGGGCGUAAAGGGCGCGUAGGCGGCAUGCCAAGCGUGUGGUGAAAGCCCGGGGCUCAACCCCGGGUCGGCCGUGCGGACUGGCGUGCUCGAGCACUGUAGGGGCGGGUGGAAUUCCGGGUGUAGCGGUGGAAUGCGUAGAGAUCCGGAAGAACACCGGUGGCGAAGGCGGCCCGCUGGGCAGGGAAGACACCGCAAGGUGUCGGCUGACGCUGAGGCGCGACAGCGUGGGGAGCAAACAGG